rnacentral:pre_miRNA from 1 species
UCUUCAUUUCACGCACUCUCUCACCGGUCAGAAAGUGAUAGAGUGUGGGAAAUGAAGAGU